rnacentral:rRNA from 1 species
UGAUGACGAGACGCUAAGGCGUUGAAGCAGUGUAUGUCAGACUUCCAAGAAAAGCUCGCAAUGUCAUAAUAAAAAAUGCCUGUACCAUAACCGACACAGGUGGGUAGGUAGAGUAUACUAAGGGGCGCGAGAUAACUCUCUCUAAGGAACUCGGCAAAAUGACUCCGUAACUUCGGGAGAAGGAGUGCCUUAUUUAUAAGGUUGCAAUAACAAGAUCCAAGCAACUGUUUAUCAAAAACACAGGUCUCCGCUAAGUCGUAAGACGAUGUAUGGGGGCUGACGCCUGCCCAGUGCCAGAAGGUUAAAGAAGUUGGUUAGUGUAUGCGAAGCUGAUGACUGAAGCCCUGGUGAACGGCGGCCGUAACUAUAACGGUCCUAAGGUAGCGAAAUUCCUUGUCGGGUAAGUUCCGACCCGCACGAAAGGCGUAAUGAUUUGGAUACUGUCUCGGCGAGAGGCUCGGUGAAAUAGACUUGUCUGUGAAGAUGCGGACUACCUGCACCAGGACAGAAAGACCCUAUGAAGCUUUACUGUAACUUGAAAUUGGAAUUGGACUUUGCUUGCGCAGUAUAGGUGGGAAGCGUUGAAGAUAUUCUUGCGGGAGUAUUGGAGCUAUCAGUGAGAUACCACUCUUGUAAUGUUAGAUUUCUAACUUUGAACCAUAACCUGGUCAAAGAACAGUUUCAGGUGGGCAGUUUGACUGGGGCGGUCGCCUCCCAAAUGGUAACGGAGGCGUACAAAGGUUUCCUCUGAACGGAUAGAAAUCGUAUCUAGAGUGUAAAGGCAUAAGGAAGCUUGACUGUGAGACCUACAAGUCGAGCAGGGACGAAAGUCGGUCUUAGUGAUCUGACGGUACUGAGUGGAAAGGCCGUCACUCAACGGAUAAAAGUUACUCUAAGGAUAACAGGCUGAUCUCCCCCAAGAGUUCACAUCGACGGGGAGGUUUGGCACCUCGAUGUCGGCUCAUCGCAUCCUGGGGCGGUAGUACGUCCCAAGGGUUGGGCUGUUCGCCCAUGAAAGCGGUACGCGAGCUGGGUUCAGAACGUCGUGAGACAGUUCGGUCCAUAUCCGGUGUAGGCGCUAGAAUAUUGAGAGGAGCCUUCUUUAGUACGAGAGGACCGAGAAGGACACACCGCUGGUGUACCAGUUAUCGUGCCAACGGUAAACGCUGGGUAGCUAUGUGUGGAGUGGAUAACCGCUGAAAGCAUCUAAGUGGGAAGCCCACCUCAAGAUGAGUAUUC